rnacentral:rRNA from 1 species
GAUGAACGCUGGCGGCGUGCCUAAUACAUGCAAGUCGAGCGAACAGACGAGGAGCUUGCUCCUCUGACGUUAGCGGCGGACGGGUGAGUAACACGUGGAUAACCUACCUAUAAGACUGGGAUAACUUCGGGAAACCGGAGCUAAUACCGGAUAAUAUAUUGAACCGCAUGGUUCAAUAGUGAAAGACGGUUUUGCUGUCACUUAUAGAUGGAUCCGCGCCGCAUUAGCUAGUUGGUAAGGUAACGGCUUACCAAGGCAACGAUGCGUAGCCGACCUGAGAGGGUGAUCGGCCACACUGGAGCUGAGACACGGUCCAGACUCCUACGGGAGGCAGCAGUAGGGAAUCUUCCGCAAUGGGCGAAAGCUUGACGGAGCAACGCCGCGUGAGUGAUGAAGGUCUUCGGAUCGUAAAGCUCUGUUAUUAGGGAAGAACAAAUGUGUAAGUAACUAUGCACGUCUUGACGGUACCUAAUCAGAAAGCCACGGCUAACUACGUG